rnacentral:rRNA from 1 species
UACGUAGGCGGAAAAUUAAGUCAGUAGUGAAAUCCUGCAGCUUAACUGUAGAACUGUUAUUGAUACUGGUUUUCUUGAAUAUAGUUGAGGUAGGCGGAAUGUGUAAUGUAGCGGUGAAAUGCUUAGAUAUUACACAGAACACCGAUUGCGAAGGCAGCCUACUAAGCUAUGAUUGACGCUGAGGUACGAAAGCGUGGGGAGCGAACAGGAUUAGAUACCCUGGUAGUCC